GCUAAUAAGGCCGUUAAGCGCGUCAUUUGCGAUAUAAAGCUAAUUCUACCGGGACGGUUAGAAGUUAUGCAAAUUUUUUUUUUUUGUUUUUUUUUUUCAUUCUUACAGAUGUAUCCGAGAUGUCAAAAUGAAUGAAAUUUUCAGCCAAAUAGCGUGUAAAUUCUUAAAAAGAUCGUUUCUUCUGCUUAAUUGGUUCCGGUUAUUUCGGGAAAAACAAUUAAUAAAAAAAGAAUGGUAUCGGAAUAGGAAGUGUCUAGGGCAAUCGGGUGCAUCUCCUGGUUGCAACGUGGACUCAGCCCGACAGCUCUUCAUUUCGGGUCUUGUCUUCGCUGACUAUCAGAGCGAGGAGGCACCUAUGGGAACCCAACAUAUGCGGACGAAAGGGAAUUUAUGGCAUUGCAACUUUAUUUCUUGGUAAAAAUAGCGUUUGAUAAAGAUGCAUUUUAACGAGAAAGAAGGACGGUUAUGUACUCCGGAAGGUAAUUUAAUCUGGUUAACGUUUAACACUGACUCGAUGUCUUUUUUUUUUUUUUUUUUAUUCGUUGUAGCUGACUCACUGGCACGUGUUAUC
rnacentral:lncRNA from 1 species